GACAGAGCCAUGCCAGCUGCAUCUUUUUGUUAUUCUUACUAGGCAACAUUCAAAUCACCCGUCAUCAGCCAACCGUUAUUUUGCUCUGAAGCUAAAUGACAUCAGGUGUUUUU